rnacentral:misc_RNA from 1 species
UAUCUGUCGAGUCCUGAAGG